AGCGAACGCUGGCGGCAGGCCUAACACAUGCAAGUCGAACGAACUCUUCGGAGUUAGUGGCGGACGGGUGAGUAACACGUGGGAACGUGCCUUUAGGUUCGGAAUAACUCAGGGAAACUGGUGCUAAUACCGAAUGUGCCCUUCGGGGGAAAGAUUUAUCGCCUUUAGAGCGGCCCGCGUCUGAUUAGCUAGUUGGUGAGGUAAAGGCUCACCAAGGCGACGAUCAGUAGCUGGUCUGAGAGGAUGAUCAGCCACAUUGGGACUGAGACACGGCCCAAACUCCUACGGGAGGCAGCAGUGGGGAAUCUUGCGCAAUGGGCGAAAGCCUGACGCAGCCCUGCCGCGUGAAUGAUGAAGGUCUUAGGAUUGUAAAAUUCUUUCACCGGGGACGAUAAUGACGGUACCCGGAGAAGAAGCCCCGGCUAACUUCGUG
rnacentral:rRNA from 1 species